UACGGGGGGGGCAAGCGUUGUUCGGAAUUACUGGGCGUAAAGGGCUCGUAGGCGGCCAACUAAGUCGGGUGUGAAAUCUCAGAGCUCAACUCUGAAACUGCACUCGAUACUGCUUUGCUUGAGGACGGGAGAGGAGAUUGGAAUUCACGGUGUAGCAGUGAAAUGCGUAGAUAUCGUGAGGAAGACCAGUGGCGAAGGCGGAUCUCUGGACAGUUCCUGACGCUGAGGCGCGAAGGCCAGGGGAGCAAACGGG
rnacentral:rRNA from 1 species